UACGUAGGGGCCAAGCGUUAUCCGGAUUUACUGGGCGUAAAGCGCAUGUAGGCGGUCUGUCAAGUCAGACGUGAAAGCUCCCGGCUUAACUGGGGGAGGUCGUUUGAAACUGACAGACUAGAGGGUGGUAGAGGAGAGCGGAAUUCCAGGUGUAGCGGUGAAAUGCGUAGAUAUCUGGAGGAACACCAGUGGCGAAAGCGGCUCUCUGGCCCACUCCUGACGCUGAGAUGCGAAAGCCAGGGGAGAGAAC
rnacentral:rRNA from 1 species